AGUGAACGCUGGCGGUAGGCCUAACACAUGCAAGUCGAACGGCAGCACAGGAGAGCUUGCUCUCUGGGUGGCGAGUGGCGGACGGGUGAGGAAUACAUCGGAAUCUACUCUGUCGUGGGGGAUAACGUAGGGAAACUUACGCUAAUACCGCAUACGACCUACGGGUGAAAGCAGGGGAUCUUCGGACCUUGCGCGAUUGAAUGAGCCGAUGUCGGAUUAGCUAGUUGGCGGGGUAAAGGCCCACCAAGGCGACGAUCCGUAGCUGGUCUGAGAGGAUGAUCAGCCACACUGGAACUGAGACACGGUCCAGACUCCGACGGGAGGCAGCAGUGGGGAAUAUUGGACAAUGGGCGCAAGCCUGAUCCAGCCAUACCGCGUGGGUGAAGAAGGCCUUCGGGUUGUAAAGCCCUUUUGUUGGGAAAGAAAUCCAGCUGGCUGAUACCCGGUUGGGAUGACGGUACCCAAAGAAUAAGCACCGGCUAACUUCGUGCCAGCCGCCGCCGUAA
rnacentral:rRNA from 1 species